rnacentral:rRNA from 1 species
GACGAACGCUGGCGGCGUGCCUAAUACAUGCAAGUCGAACGCUUCUUUCCUCCCGAGUGCUUGCACUCAAUUGGAAAGAGGAGUGGCGGACGGGUGAGUAACACGUGGGUAACCUACCCAUCAGAGGGGGAUAACACUUGGAAACAGGUGCUAAUACCGCAUAACAGUUUAUGCCGCAUGGCAUAAGAGUGAAAGGCGCUUUCGGGUGUCGCUGAUGGAUGGACCCGCGGUGCAUUAGCUAGUUGGUGAGGUAACGGCUCACCAAGGCCACGAUGCAUAGCCGACCUGAGAGGGUGAUCGGCCACACUGGGACUGAGACACGGCCCAGACUCCUACGGGAGGCAGCAGUAGGGAAUCUUCGGCAAUGGACGAAAGUCUGACCGAGCAACGCCGCGUGAGUGAAGAAGGUUUUCGGAUCGUAAAACUCUGUUGUUAGAGAAGAACAAGGACGUUAGUAACUGAACGUCCCCUGACGGUAUCUAACCAGAAAGCCACGGCUAACUACGUGCCAGCCGCCGCCGUAACAC